rnacentral:rRNA from 1 species
GACGAAGGUGGCGAGCGUUGUUCGGUGUUACUGGGCUUAAAGCGUAUGUAGGCGGAAAGGUAAGCGUCUUGUGAAAUCCCUCGGCUUAACCGAGGAAUUGCUUGGCGAACUGUCUUUCUUGAGGCAAGUAGGGGUGCAUGGAACUCUUGGUGGAGCGGUGGAAUGCGUAGAUAUCAAGAGGAACGCCGGAGGUGAAAACGGUGCACUGGGCUUGUCCUGACGCUGAGAUACGAAAGCGUGGGGAGCGAACGGGAUUAGAUACCCCCGUA